rnacentral:rRNA from 1 species
AACGAACGCUGGCGGCAGGCCUAACACAUGCAAGUCGAGCGAAGCCUUCGGGCUUAGUGGCGGACGGGUGAGUAACACGUGGGAACGUGCCUUUAGGUUCGGAAUAACUCAGGGAAACUUGUGCUAAUACCGAACGUGCCCUUCGGGGGAAAGAUUUAUCGCCUUUAGAGCGGCCCGCGUCUGAUUAGCUAGUUGGUGGUGUAAUGGACCACCAAGGCGACGAUCAGUAGCUGGUCUGAGAGGAUGAUCAGCCACAUUGGGACUGAGACACGGCCCAAACUCCUACGGGAGGCAGCAGUGGGGAAUCUUGCGCAAUGGGCGAAAGCCUGACGCAGCCAUGCCGCGUGAAUGAUGAAGGUCUUAGGAUUGUAAAAUUCUUUCACCGGGGACGAUAAUGACGGUACCCGGAGAAGAAGCCCCGGCUAACUUCGUGCCAGCAGCCGCCGUAAAAC